rnacentral:pre_miRNA from 1 species
UUUAUGUUUUACCUAUAGUGUUUGAUUCUUCGUCUUAUUAAAAAAAUUUACGAUUAACAUUUUUAUUUUUAUUAGAUGAUAAAUUAUGAAUAUUACUUAACGUGUGACUAAUUUUUUUCAAUUUCUUAAAAAAUUUUCAAAUAAAACGGAUGGUUAAACACUAGACAUGAAAACCAAAGAGUUGGUUUAUU